GACGUAGGGCGCAAGCGUUGUCCGGAAUUACUGGGCGUAAAGAGCUCGUAGGUGGUUUGUCGCGUUGUUCGUGAAAACUCACAGCUUAACUGUGGGCGUGCGGGCGAUACGGGCAGACUUGAGUACUGCAGGGGAGACUGGAAUUCCUGGUGUAGCGGUGGAAUGCGCAGAUAUCAGGAGGAACACCGGUGGCGAAGGCGGGUCUCUGGGCAGUAACUGACGCUGAGGAGCGAAAGCGUGGGGAGCGAACAGG
rnacentral:rRNA from 1 species